UUGCGAAGUCCUGCAGUAAUGAUGCUUCAAGGUAAGAUAUGGAUAAUGCUAUACUGACCAUAUGAGGUAUGGCAUAAGAAAUAUGUUUUUUUCCAUUAUUAAUUUACACUUAAUGCAGGUUGACAUUCUGCCUGUCCAAUACAGUUAUCCUCAGAGAGAUAAUCUCGAGGAAACAAGUACAGUUUUAGCUGCACUAGAGAGGAUUGAAUCUUGGAUAUUUUCUCGGAUUGUCACGACAGUUUGGUGGCAGGUAAUAUUUUACUCAGAUCAUAUGAUCUUGGUGACUCUUAAGUCUUAACUGUGAGCAUCCCUUGCUCCAAACUAGGCUUGCAAUUCUAUAAGAAUUACUCUGCAGUGAUUCUCUUAGCCCUACUGAUCUCUAAAUAAUUCUUGUUCCUCCACAUUGUGAAUUUUCUGAAGAACGUUCUUUUCCAGGCAUUAACUCCUCACAAGCAAAAGUGCGAUACCUAAUGAAUUCGGAAGGUAAUGGUUGGGAGGUGGACACUGUCAGAGCUUUUUUCCAUAAUGAGCUGGCUGACGCAAUUUUCCAAAUCCCUGUCAGUCGACAAGGAGCUAACUUCUUCACUCACCAAGGUAAUAUUGGGAGAGGGUCGAGUUCAGUCUGUUCAGAGUUGGAGAAGAAAGUUGUUCUCUGGAGAUUUGGGUGGCCCGAAAUGACUGCAGAAAUAAUGUUGUGCAUCUGCAUCCGUCAAGAGUGGCUUCCAAGAUAUGUGUAAAUGUCGAUGCAGCUUUAUUCCUAGAAGACAGACGUACGGGAUGGGGGCAGUGCUUCGAGAUCACAAUGGAGAUUUCAUCCUAUCUCUCAGUGAAGGUGUGGAGGGCUUCCUUUCCCCGGAGCUAGCUGAAGCCCUUCUGUUCGGCGUGCGUUAACUGUCGCUCGGAGGCAUGUCGUCACAAAAGUGGUACUGGUAUCAGAUUGCCUCUCUCUGAUCCAGCGGCCAUCUUCACCAGGCCAGGACCGUUCUAUCCUUGGUUCGGUGAUCGGAGAUAUCAAAACCAUAAUGACAGACUUUGAGUCUUGCUUGUUUAAUUUCGCUAGUCGCAGACUGA